GUUUCCUAAUAGUCCUUAUCUCAUGAAUCAAACUAAAAUAUAAGAAGACAUAAGGUUUAAGCUAUUUUUCACACUGAUUCUAAGGUUUGGGCAACUUUCUCAUUGCAGCAAGAGGUAAAUAGGAGAGGAAAAUGAGAUGCUGCAGAAGUUUGAAGUGAGUUGCUGGGUACUGAAGAAUACUGAUCUUGUUAAAGCUCCACACUACAAAUUGGACUCUACUGAAUCAACAGACUCAAAAAGAAAGCUAACUAAAAUGCAAAACGGAAUCAGAGUUUCACCAAAAUCCUGAAGGAUAUCAGAUCCCAUGCAUGGGUGACAGAAAUUUGUUCACAAUAAUAUGUUGUGAAUUAAGUUUUCUAAACAAAAUGCUUAGUGUACAACUUUGGAUAUGUUGGUACAUUCCAAAACUACAUUAAAUAAGGUAAAACACUUUAAAACACUUUUUUUUUUUUUUAAAUUUAAGCAAGUUGUGCUGCUUUUAAAUAGUCAACUUAUUGAAUAGCACAAUCUAAAAUAUCAAAUGUCUCUUCCCUCUACACAGGAAAAAUAUAUGGAAGAAUAAGGUCAAAAGGGUGAGAUCUGAAUGAGAAAGUCUGGAUGUGGAAGCAGUGAAGGAAGCACAGAAGAAUAAGAUGAGUUAUUAGGCUCAUGGGUUAAUAAUAUCUUUGUCAGAAGGUCACAAAUAUUACCAUAUAUCUACAUGCAGCUUCCAAGUCACCUAGAAAAGACAAGAAAAAAGAAAAGAAAAGAAAAGAAAAGAAAAGAAAAGAAAAGAAAAGAAAAGAAAAGAAAAGAAAAGAAAAGAAAANNNNNNNNNNAAGAAAAGGCAAAGCCUGAAGCAAAAGACACAAAAGACACACAAAAGAAAGUGAAGGACAGACUGAAAUAAGCCAGCAAGAGAUGAUGACAAGAAAAAAAAAAGAAAAAAAAGUUGGAGCCAUUAAACACCCAGAUAAGGAAACAGAAGCUAGUCAGUACAUCAGCAGAGAUGCCUAGUGACUCACUGACUUGAGGCAGCCUGGAGAGACAGAAGAUCAGUUACUGACAGCUCCUAAUGGGUGCAAAAAACAGCACAGUGUCCCCAGUUGAAGCAGAACUCAGAAAAGGUGGUGAGGACUUGAAAGCCAAUGUGUUUUUUUUUUUCCAUUCUGUACCCUGAAAGAGUCUUUCAUGUGACAUCUAGAGCACUUCUAGGAAAGCGGCUUUGGCCCCUGCUGUAGAUGAAAGCUGAAUCUUAGUCUCUUGCUUCAUAAUAUGGACUGUUAGGAACCAAAAGCAUAUCCAGUGAC
rnacentral:lncRNA from 1 species